rnacentral:lncRNA from 1 species
AUGCAGCAGCACUGGGGACAUAUUCCACUUCAACAGAUGAAACCUUUUCUCCCCAUUGUUAGUUACAGGUCUAUGGGAACACUCACUAACCAGGUCCUGCAUGCCCAAGUCAGCAGCAGUCUUCUCCAGGGUGCCAGACUUCCCUGCCCUUUCAUAUACAUAAAUCUGGUUAAAAGAGGAAAUAAAUGCUCCAUCUCAGAUACCACUGUGUGAUAGCUGUUGGCAUGUAUUCACCAAUCCCUGUAGAGUCUAGAUCACAUCUGAAUGAAAUGAAGAUAAAAUGAAG